GUAAUAAGCAAAAGAGAGGUAGUUUUCAGAAUGGCUACAGAUAACAUAGGAUAUGCUGCAGCGAUUCAAAGGAAAUUGCAUUGGCUGGUGUAAAGGACUCCUGCCAUAGCUUUGUCAGUCACAUCCAAUAUCCUAUUAAGAUGUGAAGGUGUUUAAUUAGACUUACACAAUGGAAUCUUUGCUUGUUCAGCAUCUGAACUGAACGUAUGCUGUGUUGCUGUUUUAACAUAUAUAUACUUUCAUUAUUCUCAGCACAUAUUACAUUAGCAUCAACAUCUACAGAUUCCAGUAACCCCUUUAGAGGAUGACUGAUUUCUUCUGGUGUUCAGAGUCUAUUUCUCUUUCUAGCACCAUUUGAAAUCGGUUAUAGUGAUUGGGGAAGAGCACCGUGUAUAAGCCGAUCCAAAGCUGCAACUGUAUUUCAAAUAAAUUGUGUGCUUCAGUUGGUUGGAGAGCUGGAACUGCAAAAACCUGGAUUUGAAGGUCUGCUUCAAGGUGAAGAGACAGUGUCUGAAACUGGGAUAUGUCAGUUCUCAUCUGCAAGGUGGGGGGGUAGGAGCAGUCUACCUCACAAGGCUGUUGUGGAGACCAGUGCAAUAAAGAUUGCGGCGCAGUUUGCAAGUCAACCGCAGCAUAAAUUGUACCUGCCGUUAUUUUCCCUUUCAAAAGUUGCAUGCGUGUGCAGAAUCGUCUGGUUACGUGAAAGGAAUCCAUCAUGUCAAGGAAGAAUGUUGACUUGCGAUCUGCGGACAAUCAAAAGAUUGUGUGAGGUGCCAAUUACUGCAAGGCUCUUUCCCACCUCAAAAUGUUUCCCAGCACUGGCCCCAUUCUUUGCAAGAAUCUGCCUAGAAUAAUAGAAUCGUAGAGUUGCAGGGGACACUAAGGGUGAUCUAGUCCAACCGCCUGCAAUGCAGGAAUCUCAACUAAUAAUAAUAAUAAUAAUAAUAAUAAUAAUAAUAAUAAUAAUUUAUUAUUUAUACUCCACCCAUCUGGCUGGGCUUCCCCAGGCACUCUGGACAGCUUCCAACAAAAUAUUAAAAUACCAUAAUACAUCAAACAUUAAAAGCUUCCCUAAACAGGGCUGCCUUCAGCUGUCUUCUAAAGGUUUGGUAGUUGGUCUUCUCUUUGCGGAUGGGAGGGUGUUCCACAGGGAGGGCGCCACUACCGAGAAGGCCCUCUGCCUGGUUCCCUGUAACUUGGUUUCUCGCAGGGAGGGAACCGCCAGAAGGCCCUCAUCGCUGGACCUCGGUGUCUGGGCAGAACGAUGGGGAUGGAGACGCUCCUUCAGGUAUACUGGACUGAGGCCAUUUAGGGCUUUAAAGGUCAGCACCAACACUUUGAAUUGUGCUCAGAAAGGUACUGGGAGCCAAUGUAGGUCUUUGAAGACCAGUGUUAUGUGGUCUCGGCGGCCGCCCCCAGUCACUAGUCUAGCUGCCGCAUUCUGGAUUAGUUGUAGUUUCCAAGUCGCCUUCAAAGGGAGCCCCAUGGAGAGUGCAUUGCAGUAGUCCAAGCGGGAGAUAACCAGAGCAUGCACCACUCUGGUGAGACAGUCUGUGGGCAGAUAGGGUCUCAGCCUGCGUACCAGAUGGAGCUGGCAGACAGCUGCCCUGGACACAAAAUUGACUUGCGCCUCCAUGGACAGCUGUGAGUCCAGAAUGACUCCCAGGCUGCACACCUGGUCCUUCAGGGGAACAGUAACCCCAUUCAGGACCAGGGAGUCCUCCACACCAGCCCGCUCCCUGUCCCCCAAGAACAGUACUUCCGUCUUGUCAGGAUUCAACCUCAAUCUGUUAGCCUAGAGAAUCCAACCUCUGCUUAAAAACCUGCAAGGAAGGAGAGUCCACCAGCUUCCACAGGAGUCUAUUCCAUUGUCCAACAGCUCUGGCUGCCAGAAACAUCUUCCUGAUGUUUGGUCAGAAUCUGCUUUCUUGUAACUUGAAGCCGUGGGUUCGAGUCUUACCCUCCAGGAGCAGGAGAAAACAAGCUUGUUCCAUGUGACAGCCCUCGAGGUAUCUGAAGAUGGCUAUCGUAUCUCCUCUCCGUCUCCUCCAGGCUAAACAUGCCCAGCGGCUGCUAGAAGAUCCUUUGAGCUGGUGCUACCAAGGAAUUAAUGUGCAAAAAAUGUGCUCUGCCGCUGAGCUAUGUUCUCACCCCAACAUGAGCACAUGCAGCUAAAAUCUUUGAGGGUGUGCUGCCCUCUGGUGUUGCUUUUUCAUGCAGCAGCCUAGUCUUUAAGAAGGGUCCAUAUUCCGCCAGGGUCUCCACCCCAACAGAACUUCUGUAUACAUAAGCACGGAUCCAGACACCCACUCCAGUUUAGGGCAAUCAUCUACAGUUCCCAACCAGCUGACUCGCUGUCGCUUCAUGCUCCUAAACGCCCCCCUAAAACCACUGUCACAUUCACGUGAAACGUUUGAUUUGUUUUCUUUUUAAAAAAUUAUUUUUAUUAGCAAUUUCAACAUAACAAAUUAUGAAACCAUAUAAUCACAUACAUUAUUUUUUCCCUACCCCCACCAAAGACUUUGAUUUCUCAGCACAUAUUAUUCUCUGCGUAGCUGUCAACAUUUCCCUUUUUUUUAAGGGAAAUUCCCUUAUUCCGAAUAGGAUUCCUCACAAGAAAAGGGAAAGGUUGACAGCUGCGAUUCUCUGCAUGUUAUAAAAUUUUACAUAUCCUUACAUUAUCUAUCUAACAUCAACCAAUAAAUCUGUGUAUGUUUAUUCAAAACCUGCCAAGGAGUCCAGUUCAUUUUGUUGUCCUUUUAAAUAAUUUGUAAAAAAGCUCCCAUUCUUCCUUAAAACCACAGUUGUCCCGCAAUUUAUAUGUCAGUUUAGCCUACUUUGCAUAACUCAUCAGUUUUUCUUGCCACGUUUGAUUUGUUUUCAAUACGAAGCCAGCGUGGUGUCAUGGUUAGAGUGCUUGAUUGGGACUUGGGGGGGGGGGGGGAGAGACAAGGGUUCGAAUUCCCACUCAGCCAUGGAGUUCACUGAGUGUGACUUUGGGCCAGUUACUGCCUCUUAAGUCUCACCUCCCUCACCUUGGGUACCUUGGACAAAAAGGUGGGAUAUAAGUGCAACAGAAAGAGAGAGAUAGAUCUGUACUGUCUGUGGGUCUUCAGGGUUUUAGGUAGACAUGGAAUUGUAGAUUUAGAAGGGAUCCAAUGGUCAUCUAGUCCAACCCCCCCAUGGUGCAGGAAUAUCAGCUAAGGCAUCUGUGAAAUGGGGCCAUCAAACUUGUGCUUAAAAACUUGCAAUGAAGGAAAUGUUUCAAAAGGACUAGAGCAAAUUUAUAUGAUAUAUGAAAGAAUAUUGUAAACAUCUGAAAACGUUUGUAGCUUUGAGAUGAAAUGUUUUGUAAUGACAAUAUAAGGAACCGAUUUACAUUUAAUAAGAGGAAAUAUAAAAAUAAGAGAGAAGGUCAAAAGGUGGCUAUAGAAAUGCUAAGAAGGUAAAUAUGUACGGAAGUCAGAAAGAGGGGCGGGAGGAGGUUAAUGCUCGAAAAGAGCGAUGUUUGAGCUUAUUGAUUUAUGUAUGGAU